rnacentral:rRNA from 1 species
UACGGGGGGGGCAAGCGUUGUUCGGAAUUACUGGGCGUAAAGGGCUCGUAGGUUGCCAACUAAGUCAGACGUGAAAUCCCUCGGCUUAACCGGGGAACUGCGUCCGAUACUGGAUGGCUUGAGUUCGGGAGAGGGAUGCGGAAUUCCAGGUGUAGCGGUGAAAUGCGUAGAUAUCUGGAGGAACACCGGUGGCGAAGGCGGCAUCCUGGACCGGCAUUGACGCUGAGGCGCGAAAGCUAGGGGAGCAAACGGG